CUCUGCUACCUCUCCCUCUCUCUGCUACCUCUCCCUCUCUCUUUGUCUCUCUGCUACAUCUCCCUCUCCCUCUCCCUCGACGCUAACUCAAGCCAACAUGAUUCGAACUCGGCGAAACCCACCCAUUUGUCCUCAGCGAAAUCCAUCUCUACAAAACCCAAGUUCCAUCAUCGACCACCAGGUUAUGCAAGGAUUGAUUAUGGGAAUAUUGUUGGUGGUGGAUCGUCAUCAUCAGCUGGAGUUUAGCUGUUGGCCAUGCAGAAGUUGAGGGGCUUUCUCGCAUUACUACUGUUGUUCCUGGUACAGACGAAUCAAUUAGCAAGUUGGUACAGCAGCUUUAUAAGCUUGCCGAUAUUCAUGAUGUGAGAAUGUUUAACUACUACAAAGAAUGCAUUUAUUUAAUAUGUUAAAGUAAAAUUGAUUCGUUCUCAUCUCUUAUGAAUUGUGAUGAAUGCAAUGAGUAAAUUUAAUGCUACUUGGUUAAUGCAAAUUAUGUAUAUGUUUGUUUUGAUGGAAAUUGUGAACUUAGAUGCAUGCUAGACAUUGGACAACCUUUGAAUAAAUGGAAUGAUGUUGUAUUAGCCUUUGAUGGAAUGGAAUGGAAUGAUAUAAUGGCAAAA